UACUGCAUCAGGAACUGAUUGGAUAAGAAUCGGUCACCAUCAGUUCCUCAUGCAUUGCC
rnacentral:pre_miRNA from 1 species